rnacentral:rRNA from 1 species
GUCGAACGCGCAGCGAAAGGUGCUUGCACCUUUCAAGCGAGUGGCGAACGGGUGAGUAACACGUGGAUAACCUGCCUCAAGGCUGGGGAUAACAUUUGGAAACAGAUGCUAAUACCGAAUAAAACUUAGUAUCGCAUGAUACAAAGUUGAAAGGCGCUACGGCGUCACCUAGAGAUGGGUCCGCGGUGCAUUAGUUAGUUGGUGGGGUAAAGGCCUACCAAGACAAUGAUGCAUAGCCGAGUUGAGAGACUGAUCGGCCACAUUGGGACUGAGACACGGCCCAAACUCCUACGGGAGGCUGCAGUAGGGAAUCUUCCACAAUGGGCGAAAGCCUGAUGGAGCAACGCCGCGUGUGUGAUGAAGGCUUUAGGGUCGUAAAGCACUGUUGUAUGGGAAGAAAUGCUAGAAUAGGGAAUGAUUCUAGUUCGACGGUACCAUACCAGAAAGGGACGGCUAAAUAC